rnacentral:rRNA from 1 species
GACGAACGCUGGCGGCGUGCUUAACACAUGCAAGUCGAACGGAGUGGCAAACGGGUGAGUAACACGUAAACAACCUGCCUUCAGGAUGGGGACAACAGACGGAAACGACUGCUAAUACCGAAUACCUGAAGAGGGGUUUGCGUCUGAUUCGGCAGUUGGUGGGGUAACGGCCAACCAAACCAACGAUCAGUAGCCGGUCUGAGAGGAUGAUCGGCCACACUGGAACUGAGACACGGUCCAGACUCCUACGGGAGGCAGCAGUGGGGAAUAUUGCACAAUGGGCGCAAGCCUGAUGCAGCCAUGCCGCGUGUGUGAAGAAGGCCUUCGGGUUGUAAAGCACUUUCAGCGGGGAGGCGUUACCCGCAGAAGAAGCACCGGCUAACUCCGUGCCAGCAGCCGCGGUAAUAC